GACAGAGGCCUCGAGCGUUAGGCGGAAUCACUGGGCUUAAAGCGUGUGUAGGCGGGCCCGUAAGUGUCUUGUGAAAUCCCCCGGCUCAACCGGGGAACGGCUGGGCAUACGUGCGGGUCUGGGCCGACUAGGGGCAGCCGGAACAAGCGGUGGAGCGGUGAAAUGCGUAGAUAUCGCUUGGAACGCCGAAGGUGAAAACGAGGC
rnacentral:rRNA from 1 species